CUAACUCAUGAACAAAAUACACAGCUGUAACAACUAUGAAAAUGUAAACAACAAAGAUCGGGCCCCGGUUCCGGACCCAGCGUACCCGCCCUACCAUGAGACGAUCACCUCCACUCGUCUCCCUCAUUUUGGCCACCAAAUGGCCUAUAUUAGCCCGUGUCGGCCAUAAUGCCCACUCUCCCCAGCAAUAUUAUUUUAGCCGGACAUGAUUUCUUUCAAUAGCUGUUUAGGAUCUCAUGCAAGCGGAUAAUUCAUUAACUUCACAGGCGACGAAACACUACAAGGAUAUUGCUAGUCGCCGCAAAAGAAACGCGCAAUGAGGCACUUUAGAGGCAAUCGUUGCCCCGAUUUAGGAACAAUGGCCCGCACACUUACUUAAAACUGGAGCUCUCUGGGGGUGGUAAGGGGCGAUAUAAAUGCGUAAAUUCAAAUUAGGCGCAGAUGCAUCACCGUUGGAGUUUUCCUCACCGUUCGCACUCUAAAGUGAAGCUCGGCGUAAGUGCCUAUGUAUGUAUGAAUAUAUUUUAUAAAUACAAAUUAACCGAAUUUAACGAUAAAAAAAAAUCUACUCCUUUCCAGGGAUGGGACCACACCCAGAGAAUCCGAUGAGCCAGCCGGCGCGGCCCACUGAGAAACAAGCAGUU